GACAGAGGAUGCAAGCGUUAUCCGGAAUGAUUGGGCGUAAAGCGUCUGUAGGUGGCUUUUUAAGUCCGCCGUCAAAUCCCAGGGCUCAACCCUGGACAGGCGGUGGAAACUACCAAGCUGGAGUACGGUAGGGGCAGAGGGAAUUUCCGGGUGGAGCGGUGAAAUGCGCAGAUAUCAAGGAGGAACACCGGGUGGACGAAGGCGGUUCUCUGGGCAUUACCUGCGCUGAGGAGCGAAAGCGUGGGGGAGCGAACA
rnacentral:rRNA from 1 species